CCCACCAUUCACGAGGCUAUUGUUUGUCGCCCCAACUCACGAUGUCACCUCAUAGAGUAGAAUCAUCAGCAUCAAGAGGGUUGUCUUUAGCUGACCGUGCUGCAUCAUUGUCAUCAUACUCGACACCCAUUAUAUUUGGAUGGAGAAAAUGUUUGUGUGAUGAUAGGGAGGUGUUGGUUACUUCGCAUAGCUCAAAAAAUCCUGAACUAUUGCUUUGGGGUUGCCCUAAUUGGAAGAGAGGGUUAACAAUGGGACGAUAUUGUGUAACCACUUUCACUGGGCUGAUGAAAUUGAUGGUGGUAUUGAUGAAGUUUUUACAGAAGCAAUGGAUGAGCACAAGAAGAGGAUUAUGAGGAUGCAAAUAAAGCUGAACUCUGAAAGUAAGAAGGGGCAGAUGCUAUCUGUUGUAACUUUACUAUCCUGGUUGUUGUGUUUGUUUGGAGAGAUGAUAUGUGUCAUGAGUUGUUGCACGAGUAGAGGGUAGGAUUGUGUGACUUGUUCGGUGUAUUUUGGGUUGUUGAAGUGAAUGAUGUUGCUUUAGAUUAGGAUACUGUCUAAGUCAAUGUAAUUGUCAGGAGCUUUAAAUGUUAUUGUGGUAUUGCAUUUUAAUUAGUGCUUGUGUAUGUGUUUGCGUGUAAGAAGAUGAUUGUGUUUUGGAUUUGUCAUUAAUUGUCUACUUUGUCAUUUAUUUAAGAAUUGGUACAUUUUGCAUUUGAAUUCAUUUUGAAUCAAGACAAAUAUAUUAUUACCAUAUCCAAAUAUUAACAAUUGACAAAUAUAUUUAGGACAACAUGACCAUUAUGUAAACACCACUACUAAAAAAACUACAUUCUAUGACAGCGAAACAAUGGUGGUUCCCAAAAACCGUCUUAGAAUGUGUUGCGGUGGAAAUUUUAUAAUAUAAUCAACUUCGACGACGACGAUUUUAUAAAGACUGUAUUAGAAAGUCAAGUUCAAUGGCGGUUAAUUAUAUCACCAUCGUCGAAUGCUUUGAAAUUUUUAACACUAUCUGUAUCCCUCUGUCUAUCUCUCUCUCACACACUUUAAUUUGUUUGUAUCUCUUUCACCUACAUGAAUGGUGCGUGCCACGACAACGAGGACCACAUCAUUGUCAUCUUGUCAGAGCAUGCGUCGGCCUUCAGCAUCUCGCUGGAGUCCCGUCGCACCCUCCUCGACAUCAACCGUGCCUCACGCAAUACAUUCUCCAUAAUCCGCGACAACAGGAGCAUGCACCAGGCCCUCUCCUCCAACAACAACAACCACCACUACAACGGCGAUGAAGACGACAGUGACGAGGAGGAUGACAAUGACGUCAAUCACGAUGGCUCGGGAUCAAAUUCUUUGUAGCAGCAAAAGAUCAACUGCGGCACGAUGGAGGAGGCAAACAUGGAGGUGCAGAUGGAGACCUUGCUGGGGUGGGCGUGGCUGGUGAGGUGAGGUGGACUUGGCAAUGCAAAAGGGUUGACCCGCAAGAAUGCUGUGAGCCAUCUCUAGAUUUAAGUUGGAAGAAGACCGAAGAAGUGAGGGAUUUACUGCUCAAACUUCAAUUUCCUGCUUUUGUUCUUAAUUUGUGCAUAUUGAUUCUCUGAAUGGCUUCUGUGAGUUUGGUUUUGGUAAACUAGGGUUUUGAAAGGGAAUUGUGCUUCUCGCAGAGAAAUCUUUUGUUUUGUGUGUUAAAUAAGCUAUUGGAUUUAGUUAUCUAGUUUUGCAAUAUGAUGGGUUAAGAGGAUUGAAGAAAUUUGAAAACUUAAGAAAGUUGGAGAAUUUCAGACACAAAGUGUUUAACAUGGGUUCGGCUAAUGGUGAAAUUUCACUUUCGGAACUUGGGUUGCGAGACAGGUUGGUCUCAAAGUCAUUCAAGAUAUGGGAUAUCUCAGCGUGCUCAUUACCAUUUCAGGAAAAUAUAUGUCUAAUAUGUGGUGAUAAAGGAGAUUUGAAGAGCCUCAUAUAUUGCGACCAGUGUAAAGCUUGUGCUGAGCAUAGGAAAAGAUGGAACAUAGUACUUUCUCCUCCACAUUUUGGUUUGAACAAUGCCUUUUCACUUACCACCUGGCACUACUGAGGCACAACACAAACACUUGUCAUAAGAAUGAAUGAAUAUAAUGCCUAUUGCCCAU